CUUAAGGCAGAGAAAGGKGAUGAGAGGAAUGUUUAUCAUCUUCAACCUUCGAACCCAAAGCAGAGGGGCAGCGACUAGAGAUUCGUCUUCCUCCGAUUCCUUCUUCCCUCUUAUUCUCCGAUCCUUCUCCUUUGCUUUCCACCUCCCUCACUAUCUUCUCUCUCGCCGGUGAGCUGCUGUUCACCUUCUCCUCAGUCGAAAAUAGGGGACUUGCAGCGGCGAUUUUCUCCCCUCCAUUUCCACUCGAAUCCACUAAAAACCCUACCGUUUGGUCACCAGUUAGCCCCUUCGUCCCACGUCGCUUUUCUAUCAUUUGGUCACCAGUUAGCCCCCUCCCUUUAGUUUCAUCCUCACCGCUGGCGGAGCAGAGCCUGCGGUAGCAUCAACGGUAAGCUUAAACGUGAAUCACCGGAGGCAUCGUCUUUACAUCGUUCUCCCUAUCGCAAUCAGCGUUUUCUGUAACCGACUGAAAGCAAAUCCAUCGAAACGAGCUGAGAUUCCCCCGCAGCAGCGAUUGAUUCCAGGCCGACAUAUAAAGCAGAGAGAGUCAACUCGAUGCAGAACGGGUUCAAAUCUGUUGCUGCUCUGCUUCUCUGUGAAGUAGAUGAACACCGUCACCAAGUUGAACUGUUCAUCAGACUUGAACACUGUCACCAGAUUGAACUGUUCAUCUUCUUCAUAGAGAAGCAGAGCGACGACAGAUCUGUUCACCCUCACCAAGUUGGAGCGGAAGUUGGACCAUCGAAUCGACUCUCUUGAGCUUGGAGCGUUUGGAGUCGUUGGUGCUGAACACUGUUCCCGCAUUGUUCACCGCCACUAUUCGUAGACCUUGGCUUUCCACUCUCCAACGGUCUUCGUUCUCUCUUGCCUUCUCCAGUUUGUUCUCCCUACCAGCUAGCCUUGGUAAUGUCCAAGGCGCUAAACACUCAUCUACGGACAGAGCCCAUACCCAAUAGGAGGAAAGAAGUUGUCUUUGUUUCGGUGGUCGCCAAUCCUUGGGAGGAAUUGCAGGUGCAAAGGAACUCGAAGGUGGAGGGUAAGAGCGUUUGGACUCCUGCUUCAUGCCUGGUGUUUGGAAACGCUCAGGGAGUUGGGAAAUGCCACUACGGGUUUCGUCGGAGUAGCAGAGGAGAACCUCUACUGGAGGGACCUCGAGGCCGUGAAGCUACUGAUCUGGGCGGGAGCACCGCAUGAGAUACUUAAGGCUCUAACAAUGAAAGUUCUCGGGGAAACCUUCGUUGUUAUCUUCAUGGUAGAAGGUCUGGAGUCGCUGGUCUUGAGACAUUCUUUAGGGCUCCGUUGGAUUGAAGUGGAAGAAGAGUUUAAAGGUUAAGGGCAGCUAAAGGKGGGCGGCGACGGUUCUGGUAUUGGGGCUCAAGAGGGGAGAGAAAGACCUCAGGUGGCUGAAAGAGUAAAGGGAAGAUCCCAUUGGCGUUGGAGGAUGAGACGCCACCGAUCUGGUUCGGGUGUUUCCAGGUGCUCUUCCCUAGCCGAGAAUGAAGAUGGGUCAUUGCUGUUGUUGGAAUUGAGGGAGGUGUCAGGGGAUCGAUGAUAUCGACUCAAAUGCUAAUGCGUUCAAACGGGGAAUUGAAGUUUGGGCCGUCGCUAUCGUCUGCUCAUCCCAACCAUACACGAAGGUGGAAACAAGGGAUCGAUGAUGUGCUAGGGAAGCUGGAGUAUUGAAAUCGCCUGGUAUAAGUAACAAUAACAGAGGAACAAUGAAAAUAGAGGGGUUAAUGAGGUAAAAUGGACGAGAGAAAGCAGAUCGCCGUUGCUGUGAGUUGCGGCAGCGGUGACAAAAACACAGAGAGCGAACGGGGGAAAUGAAGAAUAUGAUAUGAUCCAUCUAUAUUUGUCUCUAGCGUCGCCUGUACAAUUUAUGGUAUUCAAUGGUGGGGUGAUUCAGACAACCUGCUGCUCAAUGGUGGAUUUGAAGUGGGACCAGCUUUCCCCAAUGAUUCCACUGAGGGGAUUCUACUUGAUGCAGAACCAAGUCACACUCUAUCAGCAUUACAACAAUGGUUUGUGAUAGGGACAGUGAAAUACAUAGACUCCAAAAACUACCAAGUUCCACAAGGCAAAGCUGUAGUUGAGCUUAGUUUUGGAAGCUUCAGCUAGGAUACAAACAACAACAGAGCUCAAUAAGGGUACGACCUAUAACUUGGAAUUUGUACUUGGAGAUGCUUGUGUGGGAGAUUUCAUUGUGAGGGCACAAGCAGGAUCUACGUCAAUGAACUUCACGAUGCAGACCAAUGGAACCGGCUUGGCCCAAAGCUUCCUCAUGACUUUCAAGGCAGAUUCAGCUCUAACA